AAUGAACGUUGGCGGCGUGGAUUAGGCAUGCAAGUCGCGCGAUAAGGAACCUUCGGGUUCUGGAGGAGCGGCAAACGGGGUAGUAAGGCAUCGGAACGUACCCUCUUGUUGGGAAUAGCCGCGGGAAACCGCGAGUAAUGCCCAAUAAUCCCUACGGGGCAAAGGUCCGCCGCAGGAGGAGCGGCCGAUGUGAUACCAGCUAGUUGGUGAGGUAAUGGCUCACCAAGGCUUAGACGUCUAGGGGGUGUGAGAGCAUGGCCCCCACCACUGGGACGUGAGAUACUGCCCAGACACCUACGGGUGGGCUGCAGUCGAGAAUCUUCGGC
rnacentral:rRNA from 1 species